CCUUUACGGUGAUUUUAAAAUCCCGUAACUCUUCCGUCCGAGCUUCGAUCGCCGCACCGUUUGCGGCCACGCGUCCACCGCGUCUAGCUCUACUUUUCUACCGGAACAAUUUCAUAGGAUCCAAUUAGCUAGAGGAAAACGUUUACUAUUGCUUAUGUGAAGUUUGGGUAGGGUUGUGAAUAAAUAAUUGGAGCUUGAAAUUGUGAAUACCGAAACUUGGA